rnacentral:rRNA from 1 species
GACGAACGCUGGCGGCGUGCUUAACACAUGCAAGUCGAACGGAAAGGCCCUGCUUUUGUGGGGUGCUCGAGUGGCGAACGGGUGAGUAACACGUGUGUAUCCUGCCCUUAACUUUGGGAUAACUUCAGGAAACUGGGGCUAAUACCGGAUAGGAGCUCCUGCAGCAUGGUGGGGGUUGGAAAGAUUCGGCGGUUGGGGAUGGACUCGCGGCUUAUCAGCUUCUUGGUGGGGUAGUGGCUUACCAAGCCUUCGACGGAUAGCCGGCCUGAGAGGGUGACCGGCGACAAGGGGACUAAGAGACGGACCAGAAGCCAACGGGAGGCAGCAGUGGGGAAUAUGGCACAAUGGGCGGAAGUCUGAGGCAGCAACGUCGCGUGCGGGAUGACGGCCUUCGGGGGGUAAACCGCUGUCGACUGAGACGAAGCGUGAGUGACGGUAAUGGGUAAAGAAGCACCGGCUAACUACGUG